rnacentral:rRNA from 1 species
ACGCUCGACACCUACGAGAGGCAGCAGGUGGGGAAUAUUGCACAAGUGGGGGAAACCCUGAUGCAGCGAUGCCGCGUGAAGGAAGAAGUAUCUCGGUAUGUAAACUUCUAUCAGCAGGGAAGAAAAUGACGGUACCUGACUAAGAACGCCCCGGCUAACUACGUGCCAGUAGCCGCGGUAAUCUGAGCGGGCUGGCAAGGC